CAGCAAAUGACAGACUAAUCCACUUUCUGAAGCUUGGAUUACCCCAGGAAAACAUCAGUAACAUUUUAGGUGUCACUCAUACAACUAUCGUUCGUUGGAUGAGAGAAUGUGUUUGGCCAGAGACAGAAUCCAAUAAUUAACCCUGAGAUGGAAUAUUCAGACUCAAUGGCAGUUGAACAAGAUGGUGGAGAUGCUGACCAUGUUCACUUUGCAGUCAACGUGCCUGUAAUUCACAGGCCACAACUCACAAAUGAGCAAAUUGACCCACUGCAAGUGUCUGAUUCAUUUGGAGUAGAUGUAUACCUCAAGACUCUCACAUAUGUACAGACUUUGAUUGAAUAAAGGGAUAUUUGAAGGUUUAUUUCUGCUGCUCUAAUUUUGACAGCAAGGUUGUAAAUGUGUAUAUAUAGUUGUAUCUUAAGUAAAACUUGUGGAAACAACCUUUUAAGACAUGUAAAAUAAUUAAAUUUAUUUUAAAAUGUUA